rnacentral:rRNA from 1 species
AGCGAACGCUGGCGGCGUACUUAACACAUGCAAGUCGAACGAGGAUCAUCGGGUUAGCAAUAAUUCGGUGGUCCUAGUGGCGCACGGGUGAGUAACACGUGGGUGACCUGCCCUUGAGCUCGGGAUACCCCCUCGAAAGGGGGGCUAAUACCGGAUACGUUCCUCGGUCGAAAGACUGAGGAGGAAAGGUGGCGCAAGCUGCCGCUCUUGGAGGGGCUCGCGGCCUAUCAGCUAGUUGGCGGGGUAACGGCCCACCAAGGCUAUGACGGGUAGCUGGUCUGAGAGGACGACCAGCCACACGGGGACUGAGACACGGCCCCGACUCCUACGGGAGGCAGCAGUGGGGAA